GUUCCUAUCAGUAUGUCCCUGAUAUGUCCUCCAUAGGAGGUCUGUGUUGAGCAGAUUUUUGGUGUGGGGAGGUGGAACUGGAGCUUGCUCCAUCCUCUCCAUGCAUUGGCCUGGUAUUGCAGUGCUUCCAGGAGCGGUGC
rnacentral:snRNA from 1 species